UUCCGGUUGAUCCCGCCGGAGGCGACCGCUAUUGGAGUUCGAUUAAGCCAUGCGAGUCUAGAGGCUUAGGCCUCGGCAUACCGCUCAGUAACACGUGGGUAACCUGCCCUAUGCUGGGGAAUAACCUCGGGAAACUGAGAACAAUACCCCAUAGUCCACUACGCCUGGAACGGUGGGUGGAUCAAAGCUCCGGCGGCAUAGGAUGGGCCUGCGCCGUAUCAGGUUGUAGGGGGUGUAAUGUACCCUCUAGCCAUCUACGCGUACGGGUGUUGGGAGACAUCGCCCGGAGAUGGAUUCUGAGACACGAAUCCAGACCCUACGGGGUGCAGCAGGCGCGAAAACUUGGCAAUGCGAGCAAUCGUGACCAGGGAACUCCAAGUGCAUCGGGUAAGACCGAUGCUUUUCUUGACUCUUCAAAGGUCUUGGAAUAAGGGGUGGGUAAGGACGGUGCCAGCCGCCGCGGUAAUACCGGCGCCUCAAGUGGUAGUCGCUUUUAUUGGGCCUAAAACGUCCGUAGCCGGUUUGGUACAUUCGUGGGUAAAUCAAGGCGCUCAACGUCUUGAAUUCUGCGAGCACGGCCAGACUUGGGACCGGGUGAGGUGUGGGGUACUCUCAGGGUAGGGGUAAAAUCCUGUCAUCCUGAGAGGACCACCUGUUGCGAAGGCGCCACACUAGAACGGAUCCGACGGUCAGGGACGAAGCCUAGGGGCACGAACCGGAUUAGAUACCCGGGUAGUCCUAGGUGUAAACGCUGUGGACUUGAUGUUGGGAGUGCUCCGAGCACCCUCAGUGUCGAAGCGAAGGUGAUAAGUCCACUGCCUGGGGAGUACGGUCGCAAGGCUGAAACUUAAAGGAAUUGGCGGGGGAGCACUGCAACCUGAGGAUUGUGCGGUUUAAUUGGAUUCAACGCCGGA
rnacentral:rRNA from 1 species